CCUAGGAAAUUGCCCUGAUGUGGGGGAUAACCAUUGGAAACGAUGGCUAAUACCGCAUGAUGCCUACGGGCCAAAGAGGGGGACCUUCGGGCCUCUCGCGUCAGGAUAUGCCUAGGUGGGAUUAGCUAGUUGGUGAGGUAAGGGCUCACCAAGGCGACGAUCCCUAGCUGGUCUGAGAGGAUGAUCAGCCACACUGGAACUGAGACACGGUCCAGACUCCUACGGGAGGCAGCAGUGGGGAAUAUUGCACAAUGGGCGCAAGCCUGAUGCAG
rnacentral:rRNA from 1 species